rnacentral:rRNA from 1 species
UACAGGGGGUGCAAACGUUUGCUCGGAAUCAUUGGGCGUAAAGCGCACGUAGGCGGUUCGUUAUGUCGGAUGUGAAAGCCCUUGGCUUAACCGAGGAAGUGCAUCCGAAACUGGCGAGCUAGAGUACUAAAGAGGAUCGCGGAAUUCCCGGUGUAGAGGUGAAAUUCGUAGAUAUCGGGAGGAACACCGGUGGCGAAGGCGGCGAUCUGGGUAGAUACUGACGCUGAGGUGCGAAAGCGUGGGGAGCAAACAGG